rnacentral:lncRNA from 1 species
ACUCUGGCUGUCCUGACCAUCACUUCAAGCCCACCAGCCCUGCAGCAAAAAAAAUCAAACGAGUAGUUCAGAAGGCAAAGUCUGCAAGGGAAGGAAGUGUAUUGGGAGGUACAGUAAGUACUCCUGUCUGGAGAAGGUCUUCUUUGGGGCUAGAAACUGAGCCAGUGCUAAAGCCAUGCAGGAAGGAGGAAAUAAUCAGUGAGCCACGGGCUGAACUUGUGGAGAAGAAAUGGAGGGCAAGGUCACAAACCAGUCCCUAACUGCUUCUAAUUUAAUGAGUUUACCGUGAAGAAGCUGACUGCUAUGAACAGCAUGUGAAGGUGGAGGAAUUCCAGCCCAGUGAGGAGCUCCCCUGAACCAACUGGCCUCA